rnacentral:rRNA from 1 species
GGCGGACGGGUGAGUAAUGCCUAGGAAUCUGCCUGGUAGUGGGGGAUAACGUUCGGAAACGGACGCUAAUACCGCAUACGUCCUACGGGAGAAAGCAGGGGACCUUCGGGCCUUGCGCUAUCAGAUGAGCCUAGGUCGGAUUAGCUAGUUGGUGAGGUAAUGGCUCACCAAGGCGACGAUCCGUAACUGGUCUGAGAGGAUGAUCAGUCACACUGGAACUGAGACACGGUCCAGACUCCUACGGGAGGCAGCAGUGGGGAAUAUUGGACAAUGGGCGAAAGCCUGAUCCAGCCAUGCCGCGUGUGUGAAGAAGGUCUUCGGAUUGUAAAGCACUUUAAGUUGGGAGGAAGGGUUGUAGAUUAAUACUCUGCAAUUUUGACGUUACCGACAGAAUAAGCACCGGCUAACUCUGUGCCAGCAGCCGCGGUAAUACAGAGGGUGCAAGCGUUAAUCGGAAUUACUGGGCGUAAAGCGCGCGUAGGUGGUUUGUUAAGUUGGAUGUGAAAUCCCCGGGCUCAACCUGGGAACUGCAUUCAAAACUGACUGACUAGAGUAUGGUAGAGGGUGGUGGAAUUUCCUGUGUAGCGGUGAAAUGCGUAGAUAUAGGAAGGAACACCAGUGGCGAAGGCGACCACCUGG